UGGGGAAUAUUGGACAAUGGGCGCAAGCCUGAUCCAGCAAUGCCGCGUGAGUGAUGAAGGCCUUAGGGUUGUAAAGCUCUUUCGCACGCGACGAUGAUGACGGUAGCGUGAGAAGAAGCCCCGGCUAACUUCGUGCCAGCAGCCGCGGUAAUACGAAGGGGGCUAGCGUUGUUCGGAAUUACUGGGCGUAAAGGGCGCGUAGGCGGCCUGUUUAGUCAGAAGUGAAAGCCCCGGCUCAACCUGGGAAUAGCUUUUGAUACUGGCAGGCUUGAGUUCCGGAGAGGAUGGUGGAAUUCCCAGUGUAGAGGUGAAAUUCGUAGAUAUUGGGAAGAACACCGGUGGCGAAGGCGGCCAUCUGGACGGACACUGACGCUGAGGCGCGAAAGCGUGGGGAGCAAACAGAUUAGAUACCCUGGUAGUCCACGCCGUAAACGAUGAAUGCUNGACGUCGGGGUUGCAUNCACUUCGGUGUCGCCGCUAACGCAUUAAGCAUUCCGCCUGGGGAGUACGGCC
rnacentral:rRNA from 1 species